CCGACCUUAGCUCAGUUGGUAGAGCGUCUGACUGUAGAUGAAAGCAAAUAUCAGACGGCCUCUGGUUCGAAUCCGGAAGGUCGGA
rfam:Capsaspora owczarzaki ATCC 30864 unplaced genomic scaffold supercont2.15, whole genome shotgun sequence.